rnacentral:rRNA from 1 species
UUCCAGACUCCUACGGGAGGCAGCAGUGGGGGAUAUUGCACAAUGGGGGAAACCCUGAUGCAGCGACGCCGCGUGGGCGAAGAAGUAUUUCGGUGUGUAAAGCCCUAUCAGCAGGGAAGAAGAAAUGACGGUACCUGAGUAAGAAGCACCGGCUAAAUACGUGCCAGCAGCCGCGGUAAUACGUAUGGUGCAAGCGUUAUCCGGAUUUACUGGGUGUAAAGGGAGCGCAGGCGGCACGGCAAGCCUGAUGUGAAAGCCCGCGGCCCAACCGCGGGACUGCAUUGGGAACUACCGGGCUGGAGUGCCGGAGAGGUAGGCGGAAUUCCUGGUGUAGCGGUGAAAUGCGUAGAUAUCAGGAGGAACACCGGCGGCGAAGGCGGCCUGCUGGACCGCGACUGACGUUGAGGCUCGAAAGCGUGGGGAGCGAACAGGAUUAGAUACCCCGGUA